rnacentral:tRNA from 1 species
CAGAAAAUAGUUUAUAAAAAAUUUUAAUUUUGGAGAUUAAAGAGAGGAAGAGAUUUCUUUUUCUGA